AGGAGGGUAGUAUCUGGGAUCUACAUCUGUUUAUAUUAGUUACUGUGCUGUUACUAAGCAGUAAUGCAUUACGGCAGUGUUACGUUACUACACCUAAUAGGAAAUGCACAUGCGCACUGGGAUGCCGGGAACGGUAGAGCACGAGGGUUUUUUGACUAAAGGAAAAACUAACUGUACUCCCGUCUCCUGCCUGGUCAUUUCUCCACAACACAAAUAUUACACCCUACAUGGCUACUGGCUAUAGUCAUGCUAGUAGUAACUAGCUAGUGGAAGUAAGUUAGACCGUGAACCUGAUAAAAGAUAAAGCUGCCCAGCCAGAGGUACCUGCUACAGCAAGGAGAAGGGCACCUGAGCAGACCAUCAUGAACUUCAUCCAGUUAACGUUACAUCAACCAAUGCAUUCAGUCACUCAGCCCGAUCCAAAAACGUUUUACACUACUUCUUCCUACAACACCCUGACGAGAAGCAAAAGGCCUGGCACCAUGACUGUAAGUUUGCAUAUCUCUAACCCUGCUGUACCCUACCGUGCUGAGACAAUCUGACUCUAGAAUAAUACUACACUAUUUUUAAAUUAAAUGCUCAACAGUGGUUAUUGAUUCUCUCUGCCAUCCUCACAGUUCACUCACUCAGAUGGUGUAUAGGCUAGUUGAUGGCACCUACAUGCCUGUUUGAAGGGACAACUGGACAGAACAUAUCAGAAUGCUUGGACCUCAGCUGAGCGCCUUCUCUCCUUCCCAGUCUUUCAAGAAAAGCACCUUCUUUAUACUUCCCGUUUGGCAUGAUGCU